GCAGGAGGAAACUCAACUCUCUGAGCAUCUGCAAAGUCAGGCUGCCUCAGACAGGAUUCAAAUGAGUCUUUUAGAAAAAAGGAACAAGGCUGCUGCAGAUAAAUCAAGAAGCCUAGCUGCUGAAAUUAUGGAGGUAAAGGAGAGUCUGGCAAAGGUUGAAGCUAGCAAAAGGGCAGCACAAGCUUCAGUCCCCACGCAAACCCACAAAUC